rnacentral:tRNA from 1 species
GGAGGCGUGGCAGAGUGGUCGAAUGCACCGGACUUGUAAUCCGGCGUACCUGUGCGGGUAUCGUGGGUUCGAAUCCCACCGCCUCCGCCA